GGUGACUAUGGUUCCUUAGGUCGUAUUUGAUGGCCUAGAAAACUUUUAGGCGAUCGAGGGUCCGAGCCCACUCGGAAGGCAUGGGCUAAACCACACGAAAAUAUGGGAAUAUGGUGGUAUUCUUUUUUUUGGCCAAAAAUAUAAAACACGAGGAACGGUCAUGGCGGGGCAGUGACUAUGGUUCCUUAGGUCGUAUUUGAUGGCCCGGAAAAAAUUUUGUCGAUUCGGGUCGGGGGGGCCCCUGCCCACUGGGAAGGCGUGCGCUAUAACACGCGAAAAUAUGGAAAUCGGGCAGAAUUCAUAUUACUUGGUCGUAAAACGCAAAAUAAUGAGGAACGGUCAUGGCGAGGUGGUGACUAUGGUUCCUUAGGUCAUAUUUGAUGGCCCAAAAAAUUUUUAGCUUAUCCGGGUCCGGGGGGCCUUGCCCACUGGGUAGGCGUGGGCUAUAGCACACUAAAAUAUGAGAAUUAGGCAGAAUUCUAGUUUUUUGUCCGUAAAAUGCAAAACAACUAGGAACGAUCAUGGCGGGGCGGUAACUAUGGUUCCUUAGGUCGUAUUUGAUAGUCCGGAAAAUUUUUAGGCGAUCUGGCUCCGGGGGGCCUGACCCACUCGGAAGGCGUGGGCGAUAGCACACAAAAAUAUGGGAAUCGGGCGGAAUUCUAGUUUUUUGGCCAACAAAUGCAAAAAUGAGGAACGAUCAUGGCGAGGCGGU
rnacentral:lncRNA from 1 species